UCGAGCUCGAGCAUCAGCCAUAAAACCCCCCUGGGGUGCUGGUGUAGGUGACGGAUGCGAAUUUCUUUGACUUAGCAGCUGAGUCAGUGUGGCGACCUGUUGUCUGAGCUCUUCAAAGGCUCCAGCAGUAACGACCGCCGGCUGGGGCUCUGGCACUUCUGAUGAUUCCUCUUGAGGAACAGGGAUAUCCUCAGGAGGGGGUUGGUUUGGAGCGGAGGAGCUUGCUGGUGGAAGACCUGAACGUGUGUUUACCAUGGCUUUUGGUAGCGUUUCCCACAGACGGCGCCAAUGAUGCUACCAAAAAUCGUACCUGCUGAUUUUUCGAGCUUGAUGACUGGUGAGGAGCACGAACGUGAUCUUCCGAUACCUGAAACAAAGGCAACGAGGUGUGUUCUCGUCGCCCCUCCGAUGCUUAAGUUAGAAAGGGAAAUAUAUGCGUGAGGCUAUGUGCUGAAGAACAAUGUAAAACGUACCUGAAUAAUG
rnacentral:lncRNA from 1 species